rnacentral:rRNA from 1 species
UGAGGAAUAUUGGGCAAUGGGCGAAAGCCUGACCCAGCAACGCCGCGUGCGCGAUGAAGGCCUUCGGGUCGUAAAGCGCUUUUGAGAGGGAAGAGAUAGGACGGUACCUCUUGAAUAAGUCACGGCUAACUACGUGCCAGCAGCCGCGGUAAAACGUAGGUGGCAAGCGUUAUCCGGAUUCAUUGGGCGUAAAGCGCGUGCAGGUGGCUUCGUAAGUUGGACGUUAAAUUUCCCGGCCUAACCGGGAGGGGUCGUUCAAUACUGCGGGGCUGGAGGGCAGAAGAGGGGGGUGGAAUUGCUGGUGUAGUGGUGAAAUGCGUAGAUAUCAGCAGGAACACCUGUGGCGAAAGCGGCCCCCUGGUCUGCUCCUGACACUCAGACGCGAAAGCUAGGGGGAGUGAACGGGAUUAGAAACCCCGGUAAUCCUAGCCGUAAACGAUGGAUGCUAGGUGUGGGUGGUAUUGACCCCAUCCGUGCCGAAGCCAACGCGUUAAGCAUCCCGCUGGGGACUACGGCCGACG